UUUUAAAAAUGACUGAACAGACAUUUAAUCCGCCUUACGGUGAUAUUUUCGGGCAAAAACUAGACGACAGUGAGAAGAAAGAGCUAUUAACCGCAACUUGGAACAACGUUCACCGGUAUAAGUUCCCUUCAAGGUCAGUACUAUAUAAUGUUAUGAUAUAUCUUGCAUGGUUUAUUAAAACAUCCUUAUCGAAAUUCUUCUCUUAGCUUAUCCACAACCGUUUGUUUACUAUCUCGGCUCGAGGAGUAGAUUCGUCAUUGCAGAGUCAUCGUUGCACCGCCUUUCUGUGCCGUCUGGUCUUGAUCUGAUUGGGUGGCUGUUUGUUUUGCAUGUGGUGUGCCCUGCAAGACCUUCAAUCUACUUUUGAUAUGCCCUUUUAUCACAUAAAUACUCUUUAUCUUCGAUUUGAGAACAAUUCACGGAACAUGUGUGAUAACAAAAAACGAAGUGAAUUCGUACGCACCGCAUUUCAUACACAAAACUGUUUAGGUAAUAACAAUAAUCCGUCACUCGUUUUCUUUUGAGAUCCAGAUUUCUUAAGUUCGUCUCGAGAAAGACAUUUAUUAACCUCGCAAAUUGUCUCGGUUAAUAGCUGUUAAUUUCAAGACCCAUUUAAGAAAUGUUGAUCUCCAAAGAAAACCCAUGACGGAUCGUAUAUUUCUCAAAUAGUUUUAAUAAGCAUUUACACAGCUUCUGACACAAGGUGUCAUUUUGUUCAUCUAGUAGAUAUUCAGGGCUGCCAUUUUCUACACCUAUUAAAUAUGCGUUUACGGUUGUUUUUGUGUAGUACAUCCUGUAUAUAUUUCUGUUUAGGCUAAACGUAACGAUGCCGACGUAUGGGAUGCGCUUUAUGACAAGUCAGUAUCAACUGCACACGACGUCGAUGUAGAGCCGUCGGUCCCACGGCGAUUUGGACGUCAAGUUCACAGACCGAACGCCCCAGCAAAGACCAUUUCCCAGUACUGGAAGACAAACAUUUACCUGCCGUUCGUAGAUCAUUUGCUUGUUGAUCUAGACGCACGGCUGUUGAAAGGCAAUGGACGGUACAAGGCACAGUAUCUGCUGCCUCCAAAGGUCGACGGUCUCACCCAUGCCGUAACGAUAGAAAUAUUCCAGGAGUUCAUGUUAGAUCUGCCAGAUGACGAGCCGACUUUCGAGCGAGAGUGUCAACGUUGGACAGCGAAGUGGACUGUAACUUCACCUGCUCCCUACUCAACCCUGGAAAAAGCAUUGGACGUAGCUAAUGAGGCAUCGUAUCCUAACAUAAGGAUCUGCCUCAUGGUUCUGUUGUGUAUGCCAGUAGCAACGGCCACGACUGAGCGCUUAUUUUCGACAAUGCGUCGAGUCAAAACGUAUUUGAGGAGUACCAUGACAACUGAGCGAAUGUCAGGCCUGGGUUUGAUGAACAUUUACAGCGAACGCAAUAUCAACGCCGAACAUGUCUUUGACAUAUUUGCAAGAAAAAAGGAUCGUCGCCUGGCUCUUUUAUUCAGAAUUUAAUAACCAUUGUUAUGCACAGUGCCAUAUUUAGGGAAUAGAUCCGCUAAAGACAGGUUGACUGUAUCUUAUUCUUAGAAGGUCAUUAACAAACAGUAUUGAAGAUAAUUAAUGACAGCUGGUGGCUUAAUGCCAAAAGAAACUAUUCUAGAACGCUCUUAUAAAAGCGUUCUUCAUUAAUUGAACACCUUUUUCAAAGACCACACUGUCCUAGUUUUUGGUUUUGACUGGUCGCUUAAAACUGGUUUGACUGUAUUUCUUCCUAAUAUCCUACCGAUAACUAUUAUGUAACAUGUUGUUGAAGUCUAGGUAAUAUAUUGCAUUCGCUUCUUCAGUUUAAGAUUUUUUUUAACUUUUUUG